rnacentral:rRNA from 1 species
AACGAACGCUGGCGGCAUGCCUAACACAUGCAAGUCGAACGAGAUCUUCGGGUCUAGUGGCGCACGGGUGCGUAACGCGUGGGAAUCUGCCCUUUGGUUCGGAAUAACAGUUGGAAACGACUGCUAAUACCGGAUGAUGACGAAAGUCCAAAGAUUUAUCGCCAGAGGAUGAGCCCGCGUAGGAUUAGCUAGUUGGUGUGGUAAAGGCGCACCAAGGCGACGAUCCUUAGCUGGUCUGAUAGGAUGAUCAGCCACACGUGGACUGAGACACGGCCCAGACUCCUACGGGAGGCAGCAGUGGGGAAUAUUGGACAAUGGGCGAAAGCCUGAUCCAGCAAUGCCGCGUGAGUGAUGAAGGCCUUAGGGUUGUAAAGCUCUUUUACCCGGGAUGAUAAUGACAGUACCGGGAGAAUAAGCUCCGGCUAACUCCGUGCCAGCCGCCGCAGUAA